AGAGUUUGAUCCUGGCUCAGGAUGAACGCUAGCUACAGGCUUAACACAUGCAAGUCGAGGGGCAUCAGGAAGAAAGCUUGCUUUCUUUGCUGGCGACCGGCGCACGGGUGAGUAACACGUAUCCAACCUGCCCUUUACUCGGGGAUAGCCUUUCGAAAGAAAGAUUAAUACCCGAUAGCAUAAUGAUUCCGCAUGGUUUCAUUAUUAAAGGAUUCCGGUAAAGGAUGGGGAUGCGUUCCAUUAGGUUGUUGGUGAGGUAACGGCUCACCAAGCCUUCGAUGGAUAGGGGUUCUGAGAGGAAGGUCCCCCACAUUGGAACUGAGACACGGUCCAAACUCCUACGGGAGGCAGCAGUGAGGAAUAUUGGUCAAUGGGCGGUAGCCUGAACCAGCCAAGUAGCGUGAAGGAUGAAGGCUCUAUGGGUCGUAAACUUCUUUUAUAUAAGAAUAAAGUGCAGUAUGUAUACUGUUUUGUAUGUAUUAUAUGAAUAAGGAUCGGCUAACUCCGUGCCAGCAGCCGCGGUAAUACGGAGGAUCCGAGCGUUAUCCGGAUUUAUUGGGUUUAAAGGGAGCGUAGGUGGACUGGUAAGUCAGUUGUGAAAGUUUGCGGCUCAACCGUAAAAUUGCAGUUGAUACUGUCAGUCUUGAGUACAGUAGAGGUGGGCGGAAUUCGUGGUGUAGCGGUGAAAUGCUUAGAUAUCACGAAGAACUCCGAUUGCGAAGGCAGCUCACUGGACUGCAACUGACACUGAUGCUCGAAAGUGUGGGUAUCAAACAGGAUUAGAUACCCUGGUAGUCCACACAGUAAACGAUGAAUACUCGCUGUUUGCGAUAUACAGUAAGCGGCCAAGCGAAAGCAUUAAGUAUUCCACCUGGGGAGUACGCCGGCAACGGUGAAACUCAAAGGAAUUGACGGGGGCCCGCACAAGCGGAGGAACAUGUGGUUUAAUUCGAUGAUACGCGAGGAACCUUACCCGGGCUUAAAUUGCAGUGGAAUGAUGUGGAAACAUGUCAGUGAGCAAUCACCGCUGUGAAGGUGCUGCAUGGUUGUCGUCAGCUCGUGCCGUGAGGUGUCGGCUUAAGUGCCAUAACGAGCGCAACCCUUAUCUUCAGUUACUAACAGGUCAUGCUGAGGACUCUGGAGAGACUGCCGUCGUAAGAUGUGAGGAAGGUGGGGAUGACGUCAAAUCAGCACGGCCCUUACGUCCGGGGCUACACACGUGUUACAAUGGGGGGUACAGAAGGCAGCUAGCGGGUGACCGUAUGCUAAUCCCAAAAUCCUCUCUCAGUUCGGAUCGAAGUCUGCAACCCGACUUCGUGAAGCUGGAUUCGCUAGUAAUCGCGCAUCAGCCACGGCGCGGUGAAUACGUUCCCGGGCCUUGUACACACCGCCCGUCAAGCCAUGGGAGCCGGGGGUACCUGAAGUACGUAACCGCAAGGAUCGUCCUAGGGUAAAACUGGUGACUGGGGCUAAGUCGUAACAAGGUAGCCGUACCGGAAGGUGCGGCUG
rnacentral:rRNA from 2 species